UCAAACUGUCUCAGCCAGAGAAGGAAGGUUUCAGCUUGAGGAACAUUGAAAGAGGCCACUGAUUUACAACCUGAUGAAUCCUGCCUUGAAACCAUGUGAUGACCUAAAAUAAAUGGAAAAAGCAGA